rnacentral:rRNA from 1 species
UACGGGGGGGGCAAGCGUUGUUCGGAAUUACUGGGCGUAAAGGGCUCGUAGGCGGCCAACUAAGUCAGACGUGAAAUCCCUCGGCUUAACCGGGGAACGGCUGGGCAUACUGCGGGUCUUGGGCCGACUAGGGGCAGCCGGAACAAGCGGUGGAGCGGUGAAAUGCGUAGAUAUCGCUUGGAACGCCGAAGGUGAAAACAGGCUGCUGGGGUCGCGCCGACGCUGAGACACGAAAGCCAGGGGAGCAAACGGG